rnacentral:rRNA from 1 species
GAUGAACGCUGGCGGCGUGCUUAACACAUGCAAGUCGAACGGAAAGGCCCAAGCUUGCUUGGGUACUCGAGUGGCGAACGGGUGAGUAACACGUGGGUGAUCUGCCCUGCACUUCGGGAUAAGCCUGGGAAACUGGGUCUAAUACCGGAUAGGACCACAUUUUGGAUGGUGUGGUGGAAAGUUUUUCGGUGUGGGAUGAGCUCGCGGCCUAUCAGCUUGUUGGUGGGGUAAUGGCCUACCAAGGCGUCGACGGGUAGCCGGCCUGAGAGGGUGUACGGCCACAUUGGGACUGAGAUACGGCCCAGACUCCUACGGGAGGCAGCAGUGGGGAAUAUUGCACAAUGGGAGCAAGCCUGAUGCAGCGACGCCGCGUGGGGGAUGACGGCCUUCGGGUUGUAAACUCCUUUCGCUAGGGACGAAGCGUUUUUGUGACGGUACCUGGAGAAGAAGCACCGGCUAACUACGUG